rnacentral:rRNA from 1 species
AGAUUAAGUUAUUAAGGGCGCACGGUGGAUGCCUUGGCACUAGAAGCCAAUGAAGGACGUUACUAACGACGAUAUGCUUUGGGGAGCUGUAAGUAAGCUUUGAUCCAGAGAUUUCCGAAUGGGGAAACCCAGCAUGAGUUAUGUCAUGUUAUCGAUAUGUGAAUACAUAGCAUAUCAGAAGGCACACCCGGAGAACUGAAACAUCUUAGUACCCGGAGGAAGAGAAAGAAAAUUCGAUUCCCUUAGUAGCGGCGAGCGAAACGGGAAGAGCCCAAACCAACAAGCUUGCUUGUUGGGGUUGUAGGACACUCUAUACGGAGUUACAAAGGACGACAUUAGACGAAUCAUCUGGAAAGAUGAAUCAAAGAAGGUAAUAAUCCUGUAGUCGAAAAUGUUGUCUCUCUUGAGUGGAUCCUGAGUACGACGGAGCACGUGAAAUUCCGUCGGAAUCUGGGAGGACCAUCUCCUAAGGCUAAAUACUCUCUAGUGACCGAUAGUGAACCAGUACCGUGAGGGAAAGGUGAAAAGCACCCCGGAAGGGGAGUGAAAUAGAACCUGAAACCGUGUGCUUACAAGUAGUCAGAGCCCGUUAAUGGGUGAUGGCGUGCCUUUUGUAGAAUGAACCGGCGAGUUACGAUUUGAUGCAAGGUUAAGCAGUAAAUGUGGAGCCGUAGCGAAAGCGAGUCUGAAUAGGGCGUUUAGUAUUUGGUCGUAGACCCGAAACCAGGUGAUCUACCCUUGGUCAGGUUGAAGUUCAGGUAACACUGAAUGGAGGACCGAACCGACUUACGUUGAAAAGUGAGCGGAUGAACUGAGGGUAGCGGAGAAAUUCCAAUCGAACCUGGAGAUAGCUGGUUCUCUCCGAAAUAGCUUUAGGGCUAGCCUCAAGUGAUGAUUAUUGGAGGUAGAGCACUGUUUGGACGAGGGGCCCCUCUCGGGUUACCGAAUUCAGACAAACUCCGAAUGCCAAUUAAUUUAACUUGGGAGUCAGAACAUGGGUGAUAAGGUCCGUGUUCGAAAGGGAAACAGCCCAGACCACCAGCUAAGGUCCCAAAAUAUAUGUUAAGUGGAAAAGGAUGUGGCGUUGCCCAGACAACUAGGAUGUUGGCUUAGAAGCAGCCAUCAUUUAAAGAGUGCGUAAUAGCUCACUAGUCGAGUGACACUGCGCCGAAAAUGUACCGGGGCUAAACAUAUUACCGAAGCUGUGGAUUGUCCUUUGGACAAUGGUAGGAGAGCGUUCUAAGGGCGUUGAAGCAUGAUCGUAAGGACAUGUGGAGCGCUUAGAAGUGAGAAUGCCGGUGUGAGUAGCGAAAGACGGGUGAGAAUCCCGUCCACCGAUUGACUAAGGUUUCCAGAGGAAGGCUCGUCCGCUCUGGGUUAGUCGGGUCCUAAGCUGAGGCCGACAGGCGUAGGCGAUGGAUAACAGGUUGAUAUUCCUGUACCACCUAUAAUCGUUUUAAUCGAUGGGGGGACGCAGUAGGAUAGGCGAAGCGUGCGAUUGGAUUGCACGUCUAAGCAGUAAGGCUGAGUAUUAGGCAAAUCCGGUACUCGUUAAGGCUGAGCUGUGAUGGGGAGAAGACAUUGAGUCUUCGAGUCGUUGAUUUCACACUGCCGAGAAAAGCCUCUAGAUAGAAAAUAGGUGCCCGUACCGCAAACCGACACAGGUAGUCAAGAUGAGAAUUCUAAGGUGAGCGAGCGAACUCUCGUUAAGGAACUCGGCAAAAUGACCCCGUAACUUCGGGAGAAGGGGUGCUCUUUAGGGUUAACGCCCAGAAGAGCCGCAGUGAAUAGGCCCAAGCGACUGUUUAUCAAAAACACAGGUCUCUGCUAAACCGUAAGGUGAUGUAUAGGGGCUGACGCCUGCCCGGUGCUGGAAGGUUAAGAGGAGUGGUUAGCUUCUGCGAAGCUACGAAUCGAAGCCCCAGUAAACGGCGGCCGUAACUAUAACGGUCCUAAGGUAGCGAAAUUCCUUGUCGGGUAAGUUCCGACCCGCACGAAAGGCGUAACGAUUUGGGCACUGUCUCAACGAGAGACUCGGUGAAAUCAUAGUACCUGUGAAGAUGCAGGUUACCCGCGACAGGACGGAAAGACCCCGUGGAGCUUUACUGUAGCCUGAUAUUGAAAUUCGGCACAGCUUGUACAGGAUAGGUAGGAGCCUUUGAAACGUGAGCGCUAGCUUACGUGGAGGCGCUGGUGGGAUACUACCCUAGCUGUGUUGGCUUUCUAACCCGCACCACUUAUCGUGGUGGGAGACAGUGUC